CAGGUGUAAUCUGAGCCACGUCUCUGUGAAUUGUGAAUUGUGAAAGUUCUCCGUCGAGUGCUGAAAUCAGCUGAACUAUUUCCUGUGCUUGAAGUCCAACAUCCUGCCUUCACCCUGCAGAUCUGCCACCUCCAGCUUCCUCAAUUGUAUUUUCUCUGCAUCUAAACGCAGCGUGUUCGGCAGUUGGCUGGGCCACGUUGCAGGCUGUAUUUAGAGCAGCCGAGCGGACCGGCGCCCCCCUUUGUUCUGAGCUUGAUGAGGAGGAAACCCUGCUAGGCUGCGACGAGUUCUCAUCAUCACCAUGCAUCUCUGCCAAGCUGCUCGGCCCCGCGCAGAGCCGCCGCCGCAGAGCAGGAGGAGGAGGAGGCUGACUGACAGGGGAGGAAGAGGGAGAGAUCUGUGUCCUUCAUCACUGUUCGACUCGGAAGGAAGAGGACUUCUGAUUUAUGGGAAGAAUCAUUAAGGAAGCAGAGGAAGGAAAACAAAACAUCACCGGUUGAUCUCAGGCCAGGUAGCGGGACAUUUUGAAGUGGACACAGAAACUCUGCAUUUGGGUCAAACAACAGUGCAGAAAAAUGUUGCAGUAUGUUAUUAUUUUUUUUUAACAGAAACAACAGCCUGCUCACAUGCAAUGUAAAUAUUGGAUUUUCUCACAAGUGUUGCCAUGAAUUAUUAAGUGUUUUCCAGAAACAUGGUGGCAUUUCUUUUAAUUCUCUGGCAUUAUGUGAUUAACUUAAAGAUUUCUGGAAUACAAAUGUGCUCUGAGGAUGUGCUGGGAUAUAUUUAGAGCUGUUAAUAUGUGGCAUUAAUUAUGCACAUGUAUGUAGAAUUAAUUAAAUCAAUCAGCAGCAGACAUAACUGAAGAAGAAGGCGGUAAAACGCGCGUGUGUAACUGCCGGAGGGUUUCUUUUUUUUCUUUUUUUCUUUUGCUUUCCACGUUUUCAGUUGCCACAUUUUUUUUUUUACACAUUCUGAUUUGAUUUAGUGACUUCUUAAAUUAGGCUUUAAUUCCACAAGAGGAGAAGAAUAAAAUUAAAAGUUUCUUUUGAUGAUAUGAAAAUUA